rnacentral:rRNA from 1 species
AACGAACGCUGGCGGCAUGCCUAACACAUGCAAGUCGAACGAGACCUUCGGGUCUAGUGGCGCACGGGUGCGUAACGCGUGGGAACCUGCCCUUAGGUUCGGAAUAACUCCCCGAAAGGGGUGCUAAUACCGGACAAUGUCUUCUGACCAAAGAUUUAUCGCCCUUGGUUGGGCCCGCGUUGGAUUAGCUAGUUGGUAGGGUAAAAGCCUACCAAGGCGACGAUUCAUAGCUGGUUUGAGAGGAUGAUCAGCCACACUGGGACUGAGACACGGCCCAGACUCCUACGGGAGGGAGCAGUGGGGAAUAUUGGAAAAUGGGCGAAGGCCUGAUCCAGCAAUGCCGCGUGAGUGAUGAAGGCCUUAGGGUUGUAAAGCUCUUUUAACCGGGAUGAUAAUGACAGUACCGGGAGAAUAAGCUCCGGCUAACUCCGUG